ACCCUGUUUGGGGGAAAAUUUUUUUUUAAUUUUAUAUAUUUACAUAAAUAUAUAAUACAUAUGCACAUAUACAAAAAGAUAAACAUUCUUUUUACUCUUUGUCUAAUAAGAAAAACUAACAUGGCUGGGCUUUAUGGACAUACCUUUAAUCCCAACACUUAGGGUUUGUGGCAGGGGACGUCUCUGAAUCCUAAGGAGUCUGAAUUAUCAGGGGCUGACACUCUAUCAAACAAACUAAACAUUUAAUACAAGGGCCUUUAUAUAAAGUUUCUUGUUUAACUCUCACAAGUUGUAGAAGUGCAUAAUAAAUUUUUUUCUAAGUAUUUUGUCCAAAGUCAAUGAAGCCAGUGUAGAGCUAAGAUUUGAACAUGGAAUCUGUUCUUUUGCUCAUUGACUGUACAGCACAUAGCAAGUAUGUAGGAAUGAAAUGAGUGGGAUGGCUGUGAUGAGAAGAUGCACUUAAUUUGUAAAGUCGGAUGUGGUAUUUUCUCAGAGUGAUAGAAUGGAUAAGUUUCUUUGUAUAUUCAAUAACAAAACAAAACC
rnacentral:lncRNA from 1 species